GAAGGUAUAGCUCAGUGGUAGAGCACAUGCUUAGCAUGCAUGAGGUCCUGGGUUCAAUCCCCAGUGCCUCCA
rnacentral:tRNA from 1 species